AUGAACGCUAGCGGCAGGCUUAACACAUGCAAGUCGAGGGGUAUAGUAGCAAUACUAGAGACCGGCGCACGGGUGCGUAACGCGUAUGCAAUCUACCUUUUGCAGAGGGAUAGCCCAGAGAAAUUUGGAUUAAUACCUCAUAGUAUAGAGACUCGGCAUCGAGAUUCUAUUAAAGUCACAACGGCAAAAGAUGAGCAUGCGUCCCAUUAGCUAGUUGGUAAGGUAACGGCUUACCAAGGCAACGAUGGGUAGGGGUCCUGAGAGGGAGAUCCCCCACACUGGUACUGAGACACGGACCAGACUCCUACGGGAGGCAGCAGUGAGGAAUAUUGGUCAAUGGGCGCAAGCCUGAACCAGCCAUGCCGCGUGCAGGAUGACGGUCCUAUGGAUUGUAAACUGCUUUUAUACGAGAAGAAACACUACUUCGUGAAGUAGCUUGACGGUAUCGUAAGAAUAAGGAUCGGCUAACUCCGU
rnacentral:rRNA from 1 species